AUCGUUGUUUAUUUCCUCUUUGCGCCUCUAAGUUUAUCUUAUUAUCUUUAUCUUUACCUUUACCUUUACCUACUAAUAAACCAGCUAUUGCUUCUGGUCGUCCGUCGUUAGUCUUUUUGCAAAAACGUCCCUCUGUUUCUAAGAAAUUAACCCACCGUCCUACUUAAAGUGAUGGAAAACGUUUCGUUUUUUUGCAAAAAAAAAACCCUGCCACCACCGGCCAGCUCCACCACUUAUCCAUUCUCGGAACGGGUCGAGGCGCCGCAGCUGGCAUCGGCGAAUCCAUUCCCGGCGGCGGCGGCUUCCGGCGAGGAGGCGAGCGAGCUCUGGAAGCUCCGGAGGGGGCUUGCCGCCGACGAGGCGAGGCCGAGGCGGCGGCGCGCGGGCGCGAGGAGGCGGGGUCGAGGAGGCGCAGGAGGACGCAGGUCGGUGGCGCUACGGCGGGGGCUUGGCGAGGGCUACAGCGGUCGAGAGGGAUUGGCGGUGGCCGGCGUGCUCGCACGGGCUCGGGCGCGGCAGCACGACGUCGGGCCGUUGCCGAUGGCGCCGGGGCUUGGGCCGGUGGUUUGAAGGGCGAUGAGGAGGAGGUGUUGUCCUGGAGACAGCAACGGCGGCUGCAGCUUGACGAUGCAGGCGUCAACAGCUUGCUUCAGGGGCUGCGGGCCGUGAGCGGCGCCGUGCUCGCGCACGAGACCCAUGCCUGAUUUGGAUCGGAUUGCAGGUCGUGUCCUUGUUGAACACAGUUCAAUGGAGUGCCCAACCCGGAUUGUUGUUUUCUGCUAUAAGAAGGAAGAAUAGUCGGCCAGAAUCUCCAUGGUUCAAUUUUUGAUUUGGACGAAACGUCCAAUGUAUUCGCCGAGUUCGCCGGAGGAAGAAACGUCGAGUUCGCUGGAGCUACAAGAACAGACGUCAAGCACUCCAAUGUCGCCAGCAGCGGCUACACCAGAGGUAUGUUUGACCCAUGUUUGAUUUAUUUUCCUGUCCCCUGUCGCGCUGGCGAGCCUGUGCGCGUCCCUGCUACUGGCGCUGCUCGCUGGCGAGCCCGUGCGCGGCGACUGUUGCUGCUCUCGCGCUCGUGCGUGUCCCUGCUGCUGCCGCUGCUCGCUCGUGCCUUUUCCUUCCGUUAGUUUACUGUCUAGCUAGCCGAAAUCACUCUGAAGCUGUGACCAAACGCGUGUGUUCUGAAUCUUCUGAACUGAAUGCUUGAAAGAUUGGUUUGUCCUUCUCAAAAGAUUUGCUUGCUUGUCACUGUUUGAAUUGGUUAUUCCUCAGUUAUAGUGUUUGAUGGAUUUGAUAACCUGUGAUAGCCUUACUCAUAUAGUACUAAUGAAAUCCAAUUGCAUACUGAAAUCUGCUUGGUUAUUCUUCUGUUAUAGUGGUACUAAUGAAAUCCAAUUGCUUACUCAUCUAUUAGCUUUGCAGUGGCAUACACAUGAAUAGAUAUCUCAACAUAUAUUUGAAGUGUAACCAGCCUUUCGCAGUUGGAUGUAUUCUGAACAUGUGAGUUUAUCUCCUGAACCCAUGGUUACUUACUGAACAUAAAGUAGCAAAACUGAAAGUAUAUAUAUUGUACUGUACUUUCAGUAAUAUAGAUGCCAAUAUCAUUACCUUUUUCAGUUAGGGGGUUGUAGGGAUUCACUUUGGUAUAAAUCUGAUUGAUAGUUACUGCUCUGGUCUGUAAUUUAGCCAGAGUCAGGUUCAGAGUUGUUGACUGGAUUUUUUGGGCACAACCAUCAAGCAACCUGAGUAAAGCUUACCUAAGCCAAUGAUUUUGUUCUUUUAGCUAGAGCCAGGUUCAGAGUUGUUCACUCUGGAUUUUUUGGGCACAACUAUCAAGCAAGCUAGCACGUAUUGUUUAACUGAAGCAAAGGGCAGCUAAGCUAUGAAUGCUUCAAUUCUUUGUUCUGAACAAAUGCAGCUACUAUUUGUAUUUGAUCUGAGCAAAGGUGCAACCAAUUGAAGUUAUUUUGAAGAACCUACACCUGGGUAUAUAUCUUCUGAUUUUAUAGCCUGCAGAGUCUGUAAAGUUUGUACAUUUUGUGAAUCACUUUGUUCCGGUUUCCCUUGGUGUAUAGUCUAUACUGUAUCAGGUUAUUUACUAUGUGCAGAUUUGUUUGUGCCAUUGCCAAUCAUGUACUUCUUUCUGUGCUUGGAAGCAUAGUCUCAUCGUAUCCCCUAGAUCUGUAUAAGUAUAUUUAGCUCACAUACACUUGGCAUUUGUUCUUCAAAAGGCGAUGUCCUCGAUGCUGGACUCUUGGUAACAGUUUAUUACAUGUUUUUUUGGUGAGUCUUUUCUUGAGAUUUAGGAUUGUGGAGUUAACGGGUGUUACUUUUGACCUGCUAAUACAGCUGCGUUAAACUUUUUGCUCUUCGAAAGCAACUAUGAAGAUGAGGUCUAUUCCAGCGCCUCCAAUUUCAGUCUCUCUGGUCUCAAGUGUGACUGAAGAUGGGUGGCAAUCUGCAAGUUUCAUGCUUUGGAAGGGUGAAUUCUUACUGAAAAACCAUAUGCAUCUUACCGACCAUAUUAAUUUAUUGCUAAGGUUUCCUCAUACCAGUGGUAAAUAUAGCACUGAAGAAACUUUUAAAUCAAACUUUACUUCAGUCUAUAAUGACACUACAAAUUAUUUCAGGCUGUUUAAAGAAUGUUGAGUUGUCAAGCGAGGUGCUGCAGUGGCUGGCGUUGCCGGGCAUGGGACGACGUCUCUAGGCUCCUGCCUGAGGCAAGCCUCUCCGGCCUCCUCGGAUGCCCUCUAGGAACUGGCACUGCGUAUGAUGGCCUCCUCACCUAGCACCUAGGUUGACCUAGCCACCGCCAUCGAAGCGAAGAGUUGACAACAUAUGUAUGAUUGUUGCACGUGUCAGUCCUGCCAUUGGCAUGUUCAAAACUAUGAAUUGAGUGACUACAAAUAUGCUUUGAUCAAUGAAAUGAGAGGAUGUUCUGUUA